rnacentral:rRNA from 1 species
GACGAACCGUGCGAACGUUAUUCGGAAUCACUGGGCUUAAAGCGCGUGUAGGCGGGACGGCACGUCGGUCGCUGAAAUCCCCCGGCUCAACCGGGGAACGGGCGCCGAUACGACCGCCCUGGAGGGGCGUAGGGGGACCUGGAACUUCCGGUGGAGCGGUGAAAUGCGUUGAGAUCGGAUGGAACGCCCGUGGCGAAAGCGAGGUCCUGGACGUCUUCUGACGCUGAGACGCGAAAGCUAGGGGAGCGAACGGG